UCCUGGCUCAGGAUGAACGCUAGCUACAGGCUUAACACAUGCAAGUCGAGGGGCAGCAUUGGGAUAGCUUGCUAUUCAGAUGGCGACCGGCGCACGGGUGAGUAACGCGUAUCCAACCUUCCUGCCAGUAGGGAACAGCCCGGCGAAAGUCGGAUUAAUGCCCUAUGUUCUUCAAUGCGGACAUCUAAGUUGAAGGAAAGAUUCAUCGCUGGCAGAUGGGGAUGCGUCCGAUUAGCUUGCCGGCGGGUAACGGCCCACCGGGGCGACGAUCGGUAGGGGUUCUGAGAGGAAGGUCCCCCACACUGGUACUGAGACACGGACCAGACUCCUACGGGAGGCAGCAGUGAGGAAUAUUGGUCAAUGGGCGUAAGCCUGAACCAGCCAAGUAGCGUGCAGGAAUGACGGCCCUACGGGUUGUAAACUGCUUUUAUGCGGGGAUAAAGUGCGGCACGUGUGCCGCUUUGCAGGUACCGCAUGAAUAAGGACCGGCUAAUUCCGUGCCAGCAGCGGC
rnacentral:rRNA from 1 species